UCUCGCGAGUCCGGGCUCAGCUGUGUAGCUACGCGCCCAGAUCCAGUGCCAGGUGCAUCGUCUCCGCCCACGGCCCCCUGGCCGCCAUCUUGAAUCACGGCCCCGGGAGCAGCGUCUCUGCACACGGCCCUCAGAGCUGAGGUGUCAUUGGAGCCAUUUCUCCCCAGGGAGUCUUCUCUGAAGGGCCAGGGAUGUGAGGCCUCUGCAGGAGGUGACCUGUGAGAAACUGAAAGUCAACUCAGCACAAAGGGAAAGAGAAAAGGUUUGCAGAAGACUGACUCCCUGGUCCUGGCUAAGUUUCUCCUCUGAGCAGCCUUCUUGACCACCCAAUUUAAAUCAGGGCUUGCCAGCCAUCUCCAGCCACUCUCACUUCCUGUUCUUCAUAUUCCUCAUCAAACCCGAGAGUAUCUUGUUCAUACAUUUACCUUUUUGCCAUCUGUCUCCCACUACUUCAGUGUAAACACCAUGACAAGGUUCCAGUUUAUCCUGGUCGUCAUGCUGUUAACUUCUUCCACCUGGUGGACUUUUUACCAUCUGCAAAACAACUCAGGAAUGUGCAUCAGAUCCUGUUAUAAAGACUCUGUGACUGCUGUAUAGCUAAUCUAUUGAUAAAGUUUUUUGUUAUUACAUGUUCACAUUCUUCCAAUCAUCCUUGAGCCAGCCUUUUGUGACUUGGAGGAGGAGGCCUGGGAGACUGAAGCUUUUCUACAAACAAGAGACAGACAGAGGGCAUGGGGUGGAAGUAGGGUCUAUCUCAGGAAGGCCCCCCAGGGUCCUGCUCCAUUCCAGUUGGAGACCUUCCCGCAGCAUCCUUGUUUGGUCCUGAGGAGGGCAGCGUGCCCAGAGAGUGGGCUGCUAUCUCCUGCCAGCUUUCUUCUGGUUUCCUCUGCAGCCCAUGGGGGAGCCUCUGAGCAGCAGAGAUGGGCAGGAUGAGCCUCCCUUCGCCA